AGAGUUUGAUCAUGGCUCAGAGUAAACGCUGGCGGCGUGCUUAACACAUGCAAGUCGAGCGAGAAAGCUCCUUCGGGAGUGAGUACAGCGGCGGACGGGUGAGUAACGCGUGGGAAUCUGCCCUUUAGUGAGGAAUACCUCCGAGAAAUCGGAGUUAAUACUGCAUACGUCCCUUCGGGGAGAAAGCUGGCCUCUUUGCUGGCGCUAAAGGAUGAGCCUACGUACUAUUAGCUAGUUGGUGGGGUAAAGGCCUACCAAGGCGAUGAUGGUUAGCCGGCCUGAGAGGGCGUACGGCCACACUGGAACUUAGACACGGUCCAGACUCCUACGGGAGGCAGCAGUGGGGAAUAUUGCGCAAUGGGCGAAAGCCUGACGCAGCGACGCCGCGUGGAGGAUGAAGGUCUUCGGAUUGUAAACUUCUGUUAAGUGGGAAGAAAUACCCAAUUAUAAUACAGUUGGGGGAUGACGGUACCAUUAGAGAAAGCACCGGCUAAACUCGUGCCAGCAGCCGCGGUAAUACGAGUGGUGCAAGCGUUAUUCGGAAUCAUUGGGCGUAAAGGGUGUGUAGACGGCAUAUCAAGUCAACUGUUUAAUUCUCCGGCCUAACCGGAGGUCAGCGGUAGAUACUAAUGUGCUAGAGGGUGGAAGAGAGAAGUGGAAUUCUCGGAAGCGGUAAAAUGCGUAGAUCUCGAGAGGAACACCAAUGGCGAAGGCAGCUUCUUGGUCCAAUCCUGACGUUGAAACACGAAAGCGUGGGGAGCAAACAGGAUUAGAUACCCCCGUAGUCC
rnacentral:rRNA from 1 species